CACUCCAUUGGCUGCGAGCUCAAGCCGCUUGGACCCAGCCCGCCGCUAGCAGGGCCCAAAGCGCCGGCCCCUCCACGCCGCCUCCUGCCUCCUGCGGUUUAGUGUAACAGGGCGCCCUCCAGUCACUGCAAAUCCUGGUGUGAAGUGGAACUGCUCUAGAGGAAAAACUUCAUUUCUUCUAAGGUGCUUUAUUGCUCCUCUGUUGUAAAAUUUGACAAGCUCAAGAUUUAUAAGCCUAACAAUUCACUUUUUUUUAUUGCUGCAUAAGUGUUCAGCCGGCUAAAGGAAAAUGUUAAUUUUCACAAUUAAACCGCAAGUUGGUUCCUAUUUUCAAAA